rnacentral:rRNA from 1 species
AGGUUACUGCUAUCGAGGUUCGACUAAGCCAUGCGAGUCGAAUGUAGCAAUACAUGGCGAACUGCUCAGUAACACGUGGACAACCUGCCCUUAGGACGGGGAUAAACCCGGGAAACUGGGUAUAAUACCCGAUAGGUCUCGAUUGCUGGAAUGCAUCGAGAUUUAAAGCUCCGGCGCCUAAGGAUGGGUCUGCGGCCUAUCAGGUAGUAGUGGGUGUAGCGUACCUACUAGCCUACGACGGGUACGGGUUGUGAGAGCAAGAGCCCGGAGAUGGAUUCUGAGACACGAAUCCAGGCCCUACGGGGUGCAGCAGGCGCGAAAACUUUACAAUGCUGGCAACAGCGAUAAGGGAACCUCGAGUGCCAGGUUACAAAUCUGGCUGUCGAGAUGCCUAAAAAGCAUUUCAUAGCAAGGGCCGGGCAAGACCGGUGCCAGCCGCCGCGGUAACACCGGCGGCUCGAGUGGUAACCGUUAUUAUUGGGUCUAAAGGGUCUGUAGCCGGCCGGAUAAGUCUCUUGAGAAAUCUGGCAGCUUAACUGUCAGGCUUUCAGGAGAUACUGUCUGGCUCGAGGCCGGGAGAGGUGAGAGGUACUUCAGGGGUAGGGGUGAAAUCUUGUAAUCCUUGAAGGACCACCAGUGGCGAAGGCGUCUCACCAGAACGGACCUGACGGCAAGGGACGAAAGCUAGGGGCACGAACCGGAUUAGAUACCCGGGUAGUCCUAGCCGUAAACGAUACUCGCUAGGUGUCGGCCACGGUGCGACCGUUGUCGGUGCCGUAGGGAAGCCGUGAAGCGAGCCACCUGGGAAGUACGGCCGCAAGGCUGAAACUUAAAGGAAUUGGCGGGGGAGCACCACAACGAGUGGAGCUUGCGGUUU